UACGUAAGGUGCAAGCGUUGUCCGGAAUUAUUGGGCGUAAAGAGCUCGUAGGCGGUUUGUUGCGUCGGCUGUGAAAUCCCGAGGCUCAACCUCGGGUCUGCAGUCGAUACGAGCAAACUAGAGUGUUGCAGGGGAGACUGGAAUUCCUGGUGUAGCGGUGAAAUGCGCAGAUAUCAGGAGGAACACCGGUGGCGAAGGCGGGUCUCUGGGCAACAACUGACGCUGGAGGAGCGAAAGCGUGGGGAGCGAACAGG
rnacentral:rRNA from 1 species